UUCAGUGAUCAGUCACUGGGUCUUACUUCGAUACGAAAAUAGAAAAUGGCCGGCUAAAUAAACGCCAAGGGACAACAGACUACCGAUUCACUAAUAACAAAUAAGCACAAAUCACGUGUUAAUAUAAUAAAGGCGGUGAGUUGAGCCUCAGGCCGAUGUCGUUUCGAUCGACCGCACUCCGCAGCUAUCUAGGCUGAGCAUGUGAAAUUCUGUUCCGUUCACUCAUAGGCGAGCAGGCACAGAACAGACACAGAUGCCAUUGCCAAUAUGACGCAGUGCCAGUAUUGGCUGCCUGGCAUAUUUUAGGAUAUCUUGUUUAUAAGUUGGUUAAGAUUAUUCUGAGCUUGUUCCACCCUUGCUUCAGCAUCAGCCACUUUAUCUCUGAGCUCUUGCUGAUUCUUCCACACUACAAGCUGCUCUGGAACGACUGCACUUGGACUACACUGUA